rnacentral:rRNA from 1 species
CGACUUUCGAACGCAUAUUGCAGCCUCGGGACAUCCCUUGGCUUCGUUUGUCUGAGCGUCGUUUAAAUGCCAAAUACUAUGCAAARGCYAGUGUCGUGUUAUYAAGUAAUGACUCGUCUGGUUCGAUUGCACACAAGCAUAUUGCUGAGCUGUGUCCCAUGAWUGCAAGCGAGAAYAAGCKAUGGCACGUUGUUUGUCACGGUGUAUCGCGGUGCGUAAAUAGGGCAUAUUUGGCAUUACAAGUCAAAUCACUGCUCGAGUACCGUCUCGAACCAAAUACACCAAUGAACAMUGUGUGCUUGUACUUGCUGCCGAGAGACAGUUUUCCAGUAAUUUUGUGUAAAAAWUUAUUUUGUAGUAUAAUUUCGACCUCAGAUCAAGCGAGAUUACCCCCUGAAUUUAAGC